GACGAACGCUGGCGGCGUGCCUAAUACAUGCAAGUCGAGCGCACAGAUGAUGCGGUUGCUCGCUUCACGUUAGCCGCGGAGGGGUGAGUAACACGUGGAUAACCUACUUAUCUGACUGGUAUAACUUGGGGAAUCCGGAGCAAAUACGAGAUAAUCUCUUGAUCCGCAUUGUUGAAUGGUAAAUGACGGUUUUGCUGUCUCGUAUAGCUGGAUCCGGGCCGCAUUAGCUAGUAGGUAAGGUAACGGCUUACCACGGCAACGAUGCGUAGCCGACCUGAGAGGUGGAUCGCCCACCCGGGAACGGGGACACGCUCCAGACUCCUACGGGAGGCAGCAGAAGGGAACCUUCGGCAAUGGGGGAAAGCCUGACGGAGCAAGCCGGCGGGAGUGAUAAAGGUCUCGGGUUCGUAAAGCUCGGUUUUUGGGGAAGAACAAAUGUGUAAUGAAAUGUGCACGUCUUGACGGUACCUAAUCAGAAAGCCACGGCUAACUACGUG
rnacentral:rRNA from 1 species